rnacentral:miRNA from 1 species
CCGGAACUGAUAACAUUUCGAGA